AAUGGUGUCAAACUGCAUUAAUUCUACUUUAUAGAUACACCUCUUGACUCCAAUGUCUGUGUGGGAAGCUAUCCUGAGUUUUAGCUUGAGGUGUAAAGAGGCUAUCCAAGGUCAUGGUUUGAGAUUUAACACACUGGAUAGCUCCUUUACUGUCUGGACUACAGUCUCCAGUGGAUUCACCCCCUCUUUGGCACUGGAGGCUCAAGCUGGCACUACUAAGCCUGGAAUACCCAGGAAAUUCAGAUCUUUCACCAAAUCCAAUAGCCUCUCAUUCAGUCAUUCUUAGGAUUAUGCCUCUAAAGGAAUAAAUACAGCCCAGGUUAUCCAUCAGAAUUAUGGCUAUGUUGACCGAUCUGCAGAGCCAGACUCUUGAUGUUUGCAUCAGUGUGCAAUUCAGGGUACUGAAAUCUAGUGCAGUUUGGGGAUAUUAUUCUGAAUAAAAUACUGUGUGUUACAAGCCUGCAUUAAUCUAGAAUUUCAUUUUGUAUGGUCAUAUUACACAUUUGCAGAAUUUAAAUAUCACACACCAAAGAGAGACAUUAGCAAAUGUUUUAGAAUCAUAGAAUCAUAGAAUAGUAGAGUUGGAAGAGACCUCAUGGGCCAUCCAGUCCAACCCCCUGCCAAGAAGCAGGACCACAAUCUCCCAAUGCUCAAGAAAUUCAGUACUAAAACGAGAGAGAAGCUCCAUGCAAAUGUAACAUCAACUGUAUGUAAUAUAUUUUUCAAUUGAUAUGCAAAUUAGAUGUCUCUAUUUUGCUUUUGGCCUCAGGCUCUUGACUAGCUGCCAAUAUGGUAACAGGUGUUGCUAGGUCCAUGCCACUGCCACAAGAGUAUAGUAUACUCUUAGCAUUAGUAGCAGAACACAAACAUAUUUAGACAUUAUUUGCAUUUCUAAGGACCAAAAAGACUAUAUGGUUUACUGUCCAAAAUCUAAAAUGUUGUGACUUGUGUCUUCUCUUAUCAAUGCAGCAUCGUGUCCUAGCAACCCAGAUAAUAAAGGCCAAAACACAAAAGGAGAGCAUGCAAACGGAUUUUAUCUAUUGAUCUGAACUGAAAUGCCAGUUAUUUGCUACAGGCUUUGUUAUUAGGGCUUGCUCAGUGCACUCUGUAGAGCCUAUUAAAUGAGUUGCACCACCUCCAGCCUUUGGAUCUCCAGCAACCUGACUACAAGCCAGGAUUUCAAAUUUUUGCAGGAUUUGCAAACUAGGGUUACAACUGAAGUUUGAACAGCAAUGUGAAGAGCUAAUCCCACCCACUCACCACACACACACAGUGGCUAGAAAUAUCUCUGAAAAAAUAACAUAGGCAGACUUCUGGAAACCCUAAUUCAGGGAAUGAUGCAUUUUCCCGUUCUUGCCAUAAUAUAGGUACUAUCUAUUAUAGUGGUGCAGGACACUGAAAGUUGCUUGUAUAAAACUAACCAAAUAUUUCUGUAAGCAACUGUUUUGCCCACUACAUUAGGCCUUUAGUCUCAUUUUAUCUGAAAGACCGUAUUUCCCAUUAUAAUAAAUGUUUUAACAUCCUCAAGGCAGGACAGUCUUUUCAGUGGCUGCUCUCAGAUUGUGAAAUCCACUUUCAUGGAAGGCUAAGCCUCCCUGCCCUGUGCUCUCCUUUCGUUAGCAAAGAUCUGUUUAUUUAAACAAAUAUUUUAUGGUUAAAUCUCUUCAGGAAGUGCAUUUAGGGUGUGUGCAUGCUGCACUGUUAUCUUGAAUGUCAAGUUUUAAAGUUGAGGUUGCCUUUUUUAAAAUGGCAUUUUAAUAUGAAUUAAUUUGCUUAAUUGUGUUUUAACCUUCUUAUCAUUUGGUUUUCAGCUUUAUCUUACUUUAGCCUCAUUGUAAGCCUUCUUGAGUCCCAUGUUGGGAGAAAGCUUGGACUGGCUUCGUGCUGAUUAGAGGAGAUGGUCUCUGAUGCCACACCAACUGGGAGGACUCCCUCUCUGAGGCUGGACUGCAGCACCCUCCUUCCAAUGCAGAUUUCUGCUCUCCAAUGGCUGACAGGGGGAAGGAUGGCUAGAGUGUUAGCUAUCCCUCCCAGUUUGGUGUCGUCUGCAAACUUGAUGAUCGUGCCUUCUAACCCUUCGUCUAAGUCGUUAAUAAAGAUGUUAAACAGAACCGGGCCCAGGACAGAACCCUGCAGCACUCCACUCGUGACUUCUUUCCAAGAUGAAGAAGACGCAUUGGCUUGGUUUUGAAGAUGACGAAAAGUCAAUUGCUCUAUUAAGAUUCAGAUGAAGAUUGAAUUUUUAAUGUAAGGCUGGCUAAAAAUGGAAAGAAUAUUCAAAAAUAUUUAGAAAGUGGUUGAAAAAAAUGUUUUUUGAAAGCUGAAAAACCCAGAUCAGAAGAGUCUUGGACUGAUGGGAAUCUUUGUUAUUUAGGAUUUAUUAUGUGUAAAAUGUGCAUGUGGAUGUUUUGUGCAGAAAAUAGCAUUUUAUGCACAAGAAACAGCAUUUACUGCAUGGAAAAUAAUUUUAAGGAAUUCAUAUUUCUACACUGAAGUAUUAUUUUCAACACUGAAAAUACUGUUUUUGGUAGUGAAAAUGUUUUCUGAGCUAAACAUGCAAAAGAAGAAAGAGAUCUCUACGUACUUAAUGAUGAUUGCAUUUUGUUCUUUAAAUAGAUUUUCUUGUUAUUUCGUGAUAUAAAAAGCUCAAUGUGUUUCACCUCAUAUAUUACUGGUUGCGAUUGGAUGUCUUCAGGGUUAGAAUAAACAUAUAUACAAUAAUAAAUUAAAAUUCAAAAUUUAUAAAAGGAUAGCACACAUUUCUACUUCUAUUCUUAUAAAAUCCUAAUAGCCCCAAUAGUUCACAUUAAUUGUAUUUAAUAUUUUAAAAUGUAUUUAUUCCAUUCAAUCUAAUAACAGAAGGAAUUCCUGGAGUUGCUGAAAAUCUCUCUUCAUAUAACUGGAUAGUUACACAAUAAAAAAAGAAAAUUAUACUUAUAACCUUUAUUUAUAUAUAUACAUUUCUGCAAAUGGAUGUGCUUUGGAUCAUAAUAUGGGCUUUCCAGUAUCAGUCUAUGAUUCUGAGCAAAACAACCAUGUGUGAAAUUUGUGCAAAGCAAGUCCCACAUUUUUAAUAGCUUUCAAAAAAUUUUGUACAAAAUAAAUCCCAAAUUGUGAAUAGUAUUUUUGCAGUGGGAAGAAAAUUGCUGAAAUUAUUCCUCACAAUUUUUGAGAAAUGUGAAAGAAAAUAGUGCAUCCCUCAAACAGAGUAACCAAACUGGCAAGGCAGAAAUUGAAUAACAGCCAAUCCCACAUUCCACCCUCAAAUAGGAUCAAGCCAAUAAAUAAAGCUUUUUUUCUUUUGCAAAAUAGAUUACCUUCUCUUACAAUAUAGAGUGUGUAGUCAAAAACAUCCUCUAAUGGAAGAUGGAGAAGGAAGAAGAGAGAAUGCCUGAAGCUACUACCCUUAACAGAAAAAUGAGUUUAUGACUGAUAAUGGACAGACUGGAUCAUGAUUUGAAUUGCACUUUUUAAAUGGAUGUCUAUAUGGAUGUUUUUAAUUAAUGUUUAAUUGUUUCAAUUGUAAUUGUUUUAAAUAUUAUGUUUUCUAGCAUCUAAUAAUUGCUGAUCGUGAGGCCACCCUGAAUCCCCCCUCGGGGGUGAGAAGGACGAGAUACAAAUGUCUGAAAUAAAUACAUUUUGAUGCAGGAAGAGAACAGAGGUGGUGAAACAAGUACACAGGAAAUCAUGAUAAUAUAAAUUAGCAGUUAGUGAUCAUAGGCAUAGAAAGGUUAUUAACUCUGCCAGCUCAUGAACGUGACCAUGAACCUCACUUAAGUGAAGGACAAUACACUGUCCCCUUCCAGUUCACGCACAGAAGACAAUCAACAUUGCUGUUAUAUCUUACCUGAAUUACAAGAAAGUCAAAGACAUUAGGUUACAAGAGAUCUAAAAAGAUUUCAGGCCAAUACAUUCAGAUGUGUGAUUUGAUUUAAUAUUUUGAUACACACUUUUGUAUAGCACAUCCUUCUCAGUUUUGCUAUUUUGUUGUUCUGCUAUUUUGUUGUAGUAGUAAGGUUGUGCCUUACUACAGAUAGAUGAAUGUUCGGUAUGCAAAGGUAACAUUCACAUAUGAUCCUACCCUGCAAGAUGAAAGCUGAUGAAAUUAAUUCAGCUCUCUGAGGCUGUUAUAUAAUAUAACACAUUUGCCUGAGUGUAUGCACCAUAUUCAUAGAACUGAUUGUAAACCCCCAUGAAGACCUAGGCUUUGCCUGAACAGUAUCCAGAGGAGUCCUUAUUUGCAAUGAUCUGGGAAUCUUUGGUAGGGCAUAAAGACUGGGGCUAGACAUUAUGGGGAGGGAAUUCGGGAGGCAGGUGGGGGAGGGGAAUGGUAACCAAACCUUAACUUGGCCCUUUUUAUCUUGUGGAAUUGUGCAAUAUAAUCUAAUUCAGACAGCACUUUAAACAACACUGACACUACAUCUGCCUGUUGGCUUGUUGCAAAUUGCCUUUUUAUGUUUAAUGUUUUAACUGUUUACUAAUAUUAGAUCUAUUAGUAAAAAUGUCCUAAAUGUUUGAUUUAUAUAUUUAAAUUUCUAUUUUUGUUAUUUUUGAGUUGUUUGAUAAGUACACUUGAUGUUGCUCAUUUUAUUGUUUAUGAUGUGAUCAGUCUGUUAUGUUUUCUAAUGUAUGGUUGGCAUUUUGCCAUUAUGUUGUAAACCGCUUUGAGUCCCCCCAGGGGUGAGAAAAGCGGUAUAUAAAUGCAGUAAAUAAAUAAAUAAAUAAAUGAACUUGCUGCU